GACGCAGCGACGCCGCGUGGGGGAUGACGGCCUUCGGGUUGUAAACCUCUUUCAGCAGGGACGAAGCGAAAGUGACGGUACCUGCAGAAGAAGCACCGGCCAACUACGUGCCAGCAGCCGCGGUAAUACGUAGGGUGCAAGCGUUGUCCGGAAUUAUUGGGCGUAAAGAGCUCGUAGGCGGUUUGUUGCGUCGGCUGUGAAAUCCCGAGGCUCAACCUCGGGUCUGCAGUCGAUACGAGCAAACUAGAGUGUUGCAGGGGAGACUGGAAUUCCUGGUGUAGCGGUGAAAUGCGCAGAUAUCAGGAGGAACACCGGUGGCGAAGGCGGGUCUCUGGGCAACAACUGACGCUGAGGAGCGAAAGCGUGGGGAGCGAACAGGAUUAGAUACCCUGGUAGUCCACGCCGUAAACGUUGGGCGCUAGGUGUGGGGCUCAUUCCACGAGUUCCGUGCCGCAGCUAACGCAUUAAGCGCCCCGCCUGGGGAGUACGGCCGCAAGGCUAAAACUCAAAGGAAUUGACGGGGGCCCGCACAAGCGGCGGAGCAUGUUGCUUAAUUCGAUGCAACGCGAAGAACCUUACCUAGGCUUGACAUGCACGGAAAUCUCGCAGAGAUGCGGGGUCCGUAAGGGCCGUGCACAGGUGGUGCAUGGUUGUCGUCAGCUCGUGUCGUGAGAUGUUGGGUUAAGUCCCGCAACGAGCGCAACCCUCGUUCUAUGUUGCCAGCACGUCAUGGUGGGGACUCAUAGGAGACUGCCGGGGUCAACUCGGAGGAAGGUGGGGAUGACGUCAAAUCAUCAUGCCCCUUAUGUCUAGGGCUGCAAACAUGCUACAAUGGCCGGUACAAAGGGCUGCGAUACCGCGAGGUGGAGCGAAUCCCAAAAAGCCGGUCUCAGUUCGGAUUGGGGUCUGCAACUCGACCCCAUGAAGUUGGAAUCG
rnacentral:rRNA from 1 species